CGGGUGCUUCAGGGUCCGAGAACCUGCAGAAGUUCACACUUAAAUCCUACACGAGAGUCGUAUUUAUGAUGCAGAACUCGGGAAAAUGAGGUUGAAAAGGGUGAAUGAAUUCCUUAAGGUCAAGAAAAAGGAUCGGUAUUCAAACCUGCCUAUCUGGAAGAUAAGCUUAGACUGCCCUACAGGAGGCACUGUGGCUUAUCCCCUUGGGGCUUUAAAGAUAUGGAGAAACGGAGGCCCAGGGAAGGGAUGUGCCCGAGGUCAUACAAAGAAGUUUGUGGGAAUCCAGGUCUGACUCGCACUCAAUCUAGUGCUCUAAUAAUGACUUGAGUGAAUUGUAUGAAUGUGCUCAGAGGUGGAGCAGCAAUCAUAAAAGUAAUAAUGGUACCAUUUAUGGACCAUCUAACUACUGUGUUAAAACAAUUUACAGGCCAUGCGCGGUGGCUCACGCUUGUAAUCCCAGCACUUUGGGAGGCCGAGGCGGGCAGAUCACGAAGUCAGAAGAUCGAGACCAUCCUGGCUAACACGGGACUCAAGACUGGAAUGGGAAGAGCAUGAAAUUGAGCUGUCUAUCCCCCUGGAUCUCUCAUUGCCACCUGCCCAUAGGUUGGCUGCACCCCUCCACCAAAGAAAGGCCAUGACUCCUUCCUGGCAGCCCUGUCUUACAGCUACUCUCUGGUGAUCUGGGAACCACUCCCUCCCUUACCCCUUGAUGCCUAGGGCUAGUGCCAGCACCUUGUUGUUGUUAGCCUCAGAGGCACUUGCACUGUUCCUUGAUGGUUUUCCCAAAUCUUGCCCUCAUCUUUGUAAAUACUGUUUGCCGUUUAUUACACUGUCAUCAUAUUACCCAAUUUGAGUGUGUCAUCUAUUUCUUCCAAGACCCUGACUGAUACAGUGGGUAUAUUUGGAGCCAGAAAAAACAAUGACAACAAAACCAUUUGUUUGAGAAUUAGAAUGUGUUAGGAGAGUCCAUAAUCAGAACUGUCUGAGCACAUUUACUGCUGCCUAUGAACGGUUUAGAGGAUGAGGACAGCUGGCAUGGGAUUAAGGUAACCUUGUCCAGAAAGAUUUCAUUCAUUUAGAAAAAAUUUAUUGAAGGCCUACUAUCAUGCACCAAGCACUACUCUAGGUGCUGGGGGAAAAGGACAAAUAAAUCAUGUUCCUUUCCCUCAAGGAGCUCACAAUCUAGUAGCAGGGGACAGAUAUGUAAACAGUUAGUUGCAUAAAGCAUCACAGUGCUGUAGUAGAUGUCUGAGCUAGAGAUAAGAACUUUGGAA
rnacentral:lncRNA from 1 species